GGCCCCUUAGCUCAGUGGUUAGAGCAAGCGACUCAUAAUCGCUUGGUCGCUGGUUCAAGUCCAGCAGGGGCCACCA
rnacentral:tRNA from 2 species